GCCCUAGUAGCUUAGUCUUUUAAAGCAUU
rnacentral:tRNA from 1 species